CUAGAAACAAGUCAUUUUUUAUUUUGAAAUUUUGCUGUAUUAAAACCAUCAAAAUAACUUAAACAAUGACAGAAUAUUUUUAUUUGUUUAACAAUAAAGUCUAUGGUUAAAGGACUUGUAUAAAUCAUUAAGACAGGUAGUUUAAUUUCAUUUAUGCAGGAAGUUAUGAGCUAUAUUAGGAUGUAUCAAAAACAAGUACUUCCUAAAGGUGUAAGAAAAAGAUGCCUUGAGAGCAUCUCAAAAAUCAAUAAGAACCUAACCAUCAAAGUUGAAAAGGGUGAACAAGCAUAAUACAUUUAUUUUAGAAGAUAAUGCAUGAUAGAAUUGCUUGGGAUAGCUCAAGAGAGGUUUACCACAUUUUGGGGGUGUCUGAGUGGGUAGUGGAGAGGAAGCAUGGCUGUGGGGACUGUGUGAGGUCUCUGGCCCCUUCCUCUAUGAGUCUUUUCUCCUGCUCUGAUUUCUGGUCAUUAUGGACUCAGGAACUUCAUUGUGCAAUAUUCUUCUGCCAUCAUGCUUGUGUCUUUGAGUAAAUUGGGCACAGAUUGUAAACAUGAAUUAAAUCAAAAUUCUCCUUUCAGUCUUGGAUAUAUAAUAUUGUGUACUAGAAGAAGAGAGCUGAUAAAUACAGAAAAAUUGGAGCAAAAGAGGCAAUCUUUUUGUGAUUCUACCUAGUGAAGUUGUCUGAAAACUUUUGGAACUGGCUUAUGGAAGGAAAUUGGAAAGCAUUGGAAACACAGAUUGUAGAUGUACUAAAAUGCUAUAAGCAAAACUUCAGGGGUGAGUCUAGUGGGAGCUCAGAUCAUACUGAUGAUGGGAAUGCAGAGAUGAAAAGCCAGGCUAUUUAAGUUCCAAGUGUGAAUGAACUAUACUGGGAAAUGGACUAGAGACCAUGAGCUGAUGUUCUGGAUAAGAUGCUGUUUCCAAUUUGUCCAACCAAUAAGACUUUUUUUAAAAACUGCGAUAAAGGAUAAUACACUAAUUAUUCUAGCAAAGGAAAUUGUAAAGCUGUCUAACUUCAGAGUACCCUUUAGUCUUUGUUGGCUGAUUUACCAAAUUUUCAAGAGAAUCAGGGGCAAGAAAAACAAAACAAAACAAAAUCUUAUUAAGAGAUUAUCAUCUUUAAAAAGAAAACAAGGGGCUGGGGGUUUAACUCAGCAGCAUAAGCACCAGCCUUGCAAGCAGGCGGUCCUGAGUUCGAUCCCUGGUACCGAUAAAAAAAUGAAAAGACAAAAAAAAAAAAAAAAAAAAAGAAAGAAAACAAGUACUUUCUAAAGGCAUAAAAAAAGAAGACUUGAGAGCAUCCCAAAAACCAGUAAAGCCCUAACCAUCAAAGUAGAAAAGGUUGAACAAGAAUAAUACAUUUAUUUUAGAAGAUAACGUAUGGUAGAAUUGCUUGGGAAAGUACACUAUUAAUAAUGUUUCCCAAGAUUUAUUUUGAUGUUGUCAGUUAUCCAGAUUCUGAGAGUUCAUUGCAGUCAAGGUUUAAAGGUGUCCAGUUACUGCUCAAUUUGAGAGCAGAUCUUGGCAUCAUCCACCUGAUGCUGUUUUUUUUUUUUUUUUACCAAUAUGCACAAAUGAAGAGUUGUGGAAUUAGGAAGAUGUCUACCUAGAUUUUAGAAUAGGGCUGAGGAGGCCAAGCAAGGAUCUCCUAUGAGAGCAAUCUGUAAAGCUGUGGGAAUAAAGCAGAGAACAAGGCAGAAAGUCAGGGAUGCCAGAAAUAUGAACCAUCUAGUAAGGAAAACUAGAGGUCUGGAGUGGACACUGCUCAAGACAGAGACCAAGUGAACUGCAACUAACAAAGCCCUAGUAUUAGGGCUACGUAGGCACUCUGGAACUCAAAUUUCAUCCUUGUUUGCCUUCAGUGCCAGCUAUGAUGCUAUAGAACUGAAUAGUUGCCCUGUUGGAUAUUGCUUAUUGUCUUGGUUGUUUUAUCAUUGCUGGGAUAAAAUGCCCAAUGCCCAAAAUUUAAGGAAAGAAAAGUUUGCUGAACUCACAGUGUGUGGAAGUUUCAGUACAUAAUCAGCUGGCUCCAAGACAAAGUGAUGUGACACAGGCAACACUUCAAGGCAGGAGAAGACAGAAAAGGCAACAAUAGCAAAAGAUGGAUACAAGCCUCUUUUCUUCCUUAUAUUGUAUGCAGGCUGUGCCCUGAGUUGAGUGUAGCACUCACAUCAUCUCUGCACCCUUCUCAUGUGCAGGCUCACAUGAGGACCUUGGGCCCAUCCUGAAUCACUUAGUUAAACUGCUAAACUUCUCAAAUUGACACAAUGAGCAAUACCCUAGAGUCCUGAGAACAUGCCCUCUGUACACUAGAGUAGAACAGCUAGUUAUUUAGUUAAGCUUCUAGACUUCUCCAGUUGACACAGUAUAUUAACCAUUCCAAUCAUGCUUUAACUUGAUUUGAUUCUAGUCACCUUUUCACUACAUAUGGAAGAAGAAUGUUACCCCUGCACCAGUCUCCUUUAGGAUUGCAUUACUCCUUUUUGAUUUUCACAGAAAUAUAAAACUAGCAUUGACUAGAUUUGGACUUGGACUUUUGAAAAAUUCUGGAAUUGUUGAGAUUUGGGGGGAAAGUUGUUGCAUUCCAGCUGUACACAGAAUAUUUGUUAUUAUGUAAGACAAAAUUACGAACUUUCUAUUGUUUUCAUUUGGAAAAUAAAUGUGAUUUAAGGAGAUGUGUUUUGAUGUGAUUUUGACAAGGACUAGGAUAUGAUAGCUAUGGUAGAGUGUCAACCUCAUUAACUUUGAGAUCUGAUAAGUUUUAGUUAUGUACACUUCUUGUUGUGUCUGGGUGAGACGUUAACUUGGAUCUAUGUCCAUUCCCUCAUUCUUCCUCUCUGUCACUGUUCUCUUGCUCUGCAUCCUGGCCACAAAUAUUGUCUGACUGCCUUUGCUGCAUCAUGCCAUUCUACCAUGAUUAAAAAGCAGAAAUGCCGCUUUGGAGUUGGCUAACCAUGGACUGAGUCUCCUUAAAAUAUGAGCUGAAUUAAACCUUCUGUUUUCCUUUAAUUUGUGGGUGUCCACUAUUGUUUCUAACAACUUGAAUGCUCACUAAUAUAUCCUCCUUUUGACAAUUGGACAAACCAGAUAUAGAAGUUGGUUUGAUGGGUCAAACAGAUCAACAAAUCAGUUCUCUGUUCUCAUAGUUUAACUUUAUUUCAGUUUUUAAAUAUAUCUCUGGUGAACUGUAAAUCAGGAAAAAUAUGGUAAAAGUAGGACACACUACAGAAAAAAUAUUAACAUUGUAUAUUAACUAAUAUCUGACCAGAUAUUAUACAGCUGAGCCAUUAAUUAGUCAUACACUGGUCAUGAAUCCAAAGAAGAUGUUUACAAUGAUUCACACCCUUAACAUGAUAAAUUUUACUAUUAUCUAAUAAAUGAAACUUUUUUUAAAUGAAACAAUUAGAAAAUAAUGCCAACAUUAUUCUUUAAUAAUAUGGAAACUAGCCUAAGUGAAACAGUUUUCUUUAGAAAUAAGAAUAUAGUUAAAUAAAGACAAAAACAAUUAAAACAUACUUUUAAAAAUUCAUCCAUAUUGGUCAGUUAGUAGGAAUAAUGUAUUUGUCAUUGUCCAGAAAUUUGACUAGAGCAUGAAUGUUUUUUUGUGGCAGAGAAAAUGGAAAAACAAACAUUUUUGUAGUGUUUGAAUUAGAAAUUAGCAUCUUUAGUGAUUUACUGGUAAUCAAAGCAAUGUUGAGUCUGCAACAUUAACAGAUACCAGACAAAGGAGCUCUCUUGGUCACUUUCUUCUCACUUGAGAAAAAUAUCCAAUGCAAAAACUUAAAUGGACAGAAGUUAUUUUGGCCCAGUUCCUACAGGCUUCACUCCAUAGUUUCAAUAUUCCACAACAUAAAGUGUGGUAGAGGAAGGCUGCCAAAAACAAUAUCCUUCCAAGUCGUGCCCUAACUCACCUCUAAUUAACACCCAUCUCCUAACAGAACUCAUUAAUGAAUGAAUCCACUGAGUAUAGAACCUCCAUGUUGCAACACCUUCCAAAAGUCACACCUCUGAUACAAUUGAACAAAUAGUUGAGAUCGGUUUGCCAAUGGCUAUGAAACAUGAUGCAUAAAAUGAAUUUAUCUGAGAGAUUCAGAGAGAAUCUGGAUAAUAUUGUUUGAAUCACUAAAUCUAUUUAUUUCUGAAAUUAAUUGUUUCUUUUACUAUUUUAGCUGUGCGAGAGAAUAAAUUUCAAAUUUUGCCUAAAUAGGGUGAAAAUUCUUUUAUCAGAAUGGAAAGUAACAUUGGUUCAUAAUUUACACAAGCAGAAUAAACUAGAAUACAAAGACAUUGUAUAAGAAAACAAAACUUUAAUCACCCACAAGAUAUUGCAGGAAAAUUUUUGAGGCUCCAUAUUUUUAGAAAACAUUAUAAAAACCUUACUUACAGUUAAUGAUUUGAGGGUUCCUUGUGUUAUAUUAAUUGUUAUUAUUCAAAAACAUCAUAUUAUUUUGUGCUGAUACAUGUUUCCUUGUAAUAGAAUCAGAAUUAUUACUUCAAUUACAUGAAUUUUUGACCAAAAUUUCUCAUAUUUUAUUAUGUAGACCUUAUAUUUAGUGUCAUUUUUGUGAAUGUUUCCUGUUAAAUUAUAUCUGGAUGUCUUUCUCAAACCUGAAGUGCUUGCAGGUAGGGCUUGAUGUUUAGCACAGUUAUGGAUAUGAAUGAUCGACUUACUAAAGAGGAAAGACCCCCUCUGGGUCUGGGUGGCACCAACCUACAGGCUUGCAGCCUGGAUGAACUACAAAGGGAAAGAAGAAGGAAGUCCUGCUGCUUGCUGCCUACUCUGCCAAGGACUGUUUCUCCUCUGCUAUGACCAUCUUUCACAGCACCCUGCAUGGAGGUCAGCUGAGUAUGUACUGAAACCUCAACACACUAUAAGUUCAAAUGAACCUUUCUUUGUUUAACUUGUAGGUAUGAAAUAUUUCAUAUCAGCAACUAAGAAACAUCCUGAUUUCCACUUCUACAUUUAUUAUAAUAUCAUUUAAAUGUACUUAGAAUUAUUCCUUUCUCAAUCACAAUAGCCUUUUUAUUUUUCUUAUCUGUCUUGUUAUAGUAUAGUUUUAAUAACAAUCAAACUUCAAGAUUAAGACAAAAGAAAUGUUCCCCAUUACAAAAGAAACAUGGACUGCAUGUACAAUUUAUAGGACACCAAAGAUUUUUCUAUGGAUUCGUAAAAUUUAGAUUUCAAUAAGAAAUUAUUGUGUUAAUACAACAUGAAGGUAGCAUUACUCAUAUGUGACACAAUUAUGAGGCAAAAGAUAUUCUCAAAGAAUGUUUUUUAUUAACAAUUUUUUAACUUUGUUAAUAAUUUCCUUUCAUCUUUCUUUCUUUCUUACUUUCCCGUUCUUUCUUUAUUCUUUUUUCUUUCUUUCUUUCUCUCUCUCUCUUUCUCUUUCUCUCUCUCUUUCUUUCUUUCUUUCUCUCUCUCUCUCCCUCUCUCUUUCUUUCUUUCCUUCUUUCUUUUUUCCUUUCCAGAGAUCAGACUCAUGACCUUGCACUUCCCAGGCAGGUGCUUCCUCCACUGCCCUAAGUCCCCAGCCCAUAAUAAUGACUCCAUAAAAAUGACUCUAAACAAGUUAAAAGUAAAUAAUAUUUUUAUUAUUUUAAAUUGUAAUAUAUAUUAAUAUUUUAAAUUGUAAUAUAUAUAAAUACUUUCACUUAUUAAUAGAUACUUUUAUUAUAAAAAGAAGAAAGAAGAAGAAGAAGAAGAAGAAGAAGAAGAAGAAGAAGAAGAAAACAAGAAGAAGAAAAGAAUGCUUACAAGAAAUCAUUUAAGAAACUUUACCUAAAAAUUACACUUGUACUUUAAUGUUCUAGAAAUGAGAAAUGAAGAGGCAAUAAAAAUGACCUACUUAUUGAAAAUAAUUGAGAAUCAUAAAAAAUAUCCAUAGCCAUCCCUGAAAAAUGCUUAGAAAGCCUAAAUAUCUGAAGCAAAUAUAAAGGGUAGAAACUUCUAACUAAGUUAAUCAAAUAUCUCUAUCAGUGUACUUCCAUUUAGAGGACCUGAAAGACUUAGACAAAUAUGAGAGUGUACAGACUUUUAAAUAUACUAAUCAAAUAUUUCUGCUAUUUUAUUUCCAUUCUGUGAUGUCAUAUAAUUCCACUUGUUUUUACCUUUUGACAGUUACUAAGCUUAUAGAAGAAAUUUCACACAUUAUCCUUGUUACUGAAUCUGUACAAUGUAGUUUCAUAAGAGAAUUAAUGGCUUAAGGGGUAAUGGGUGGAAAUAGAAUGUUAUUAUUUUGUAAAUGUUAUGGUAAGUGAAUAUAAUCCUGGAUGUUGCCUUAAGUGCAGAUUUAAUAUAUUUUGAAAAUUUUAUUUAUGAAAGACAUGGGAAGCCAUUACUCAAAAUAAUAUAUGUUAAUGUAUUUAAUAAACUCAAAACCACUACCUAAGUAUCUUCUAAGUAGGGAAAUGAUUUCAAGAAUUAGAAAACAAGUUAAGCUAGUUAUAAUUGAUUCAAAAACUGAAAAAUAUACAUGAUAUUUGCCCAUGAGAGUUAUAACACUAGAGAGGAAAUGAUAACUGUCUCUAAACAAAAUUGCUAAACGUUAUAUUUCCAAAGCAAAAUAAAAAUGUUUAUGAGAGAUUCAGUGAAUAUUCUUAGAGUACAAAAUUUUGAGCUUGCCCUUAGAACAUUCCUGUGGUAACAAAAGAUGAGACAAUACACUCAAAAAGACAGAAAAAAUACAAACAUUGAACAUGUGAGGCAUUUAAAAAUAAGAUGAUGAUUUCUAUUAGAAAUGGAAAUAUAGGUUUUGAAAUUGAGUAAUCAUACAAAGAGCAGAAAUUCCCUUUAAGUAAAGAUUCAUAGGGCUUGAAUACCUUGCAGGAGGCAAACACGAAAUUUUGCUUUAUUUAGCAUAUCACACAUACUGUAUUAAUACACAUAUGUAAUAUGUAGUAAGUGUUCAAAUUUAUUUUCCAAAACCUCAGUUAACACUUUUUCCUAACUGAGUAAGCACUUUUUUCAAUUUAUACUAUCAAAAAUGCUAUAUGAUAACCUGAAAACUGAGCUGAAAAUGUAAGUGGAAAUUAAACACUGAAAAAACUUCAGGACACUAUAAUAUACAUUCUUGCAUUAUUUUUAAUUCUGUAAAAGUUACAAAACACAAGAAAUGUUUAAGCAGGAGAUUUGCAUAAUAAUUAUAAUCACAAGAAGUUAUAGGAAAAAAUAUUAGGAAAUGUAAUGUAUGAGCCAAGUAAGUUAAUUCCAUUUGUUAUAAAGAGUGAUAGGUUAGCAAAUAUGGUGAGUUUGUUUAUAGUCAUAGUUCUCAGGCCUACAUGGAAAUUGUUCAAUAACCACAUUUCAUCCCAGAAUCAUUAUAUCAAAAUUCUGAGAAAAGAAACAAACAGAAGAUUAAAACUACUAACUUAUGAAGUAAUCUAACAAAAUUGUCUACAAGUAUUCUUUACUAACAGUGAUUAGAUUGUCUUUACUUUUAAGUGCAGCAGAUAAUGUUAAUGUAUUAAUUGUCCAAUGAUCACACUUCAUCCCAGAGAAGUUGUACAAAAAUUCUGAGAAAAGAAACAAGCAAAUGUUUAAAACUACUCUCGUGAACCAAUCUAACAAAUGAAAUUAUCUACAAGUAUUCUUUACUAACACUGAUUAGCACAUCUUUUUUAUUUUUAAUGUUAAUGUGCUAAACUUCAAACAUAAUUAGUAACCCCUUGUUUUAUUAAUGUCACUUCAAAAUUUUCCUUAAUCUAUUAUAAUUUUUGUGUUCUUGUUCUCCUCACAUUGCAGGCAGAGUGAAUUCCUAUGUAUUCAUUUGGAAUAUGCUUUCAAAGUGAUAAGUCUAAAUCUUUAUUCUUCAAAAACACACAGACUAACAAGUAUUUAGAGUGAGACACAAAUCAGACAAGAGAACAGGCCCAGCUGCAGGCGUGCAUGCCAGUGCAGGCGGCACCAGCAAGAACAGACUGGGAAACGGUGCGCACUCCUGCAGGCAGGACCUGUGGCGGGAGCAGUCUGAAGCAAGAGGGAGAAUAUGAAGCAGCCGCUGUAAUCAGCCUUUUCUUCCCCGGUCCUUCCCCAGCAGGCCUUUGUCUCGGAGCCAGUCAGCAUGAACCAAAAGAGUAAGUAUUCUGCUCUUCAAAUUGCAAAUGUCAGGUGUUUCACCCCUGUGAACAGAAAAGACACUAAAACACCAAAAAUGUUUUCAAGGAGGAAAAUCAAGAUAACACUUUGCUUAAUAAUAAUAAAUAGCAAGAACUGCAAUACUAGUUGUAUAACUAAUAAUACUAGUUCUUGGAGUGUGUCAGUCUCUUCUUAACAUGCAUUUCAGUUUAUUGAUAAUGUCACCUAGUUCUUCUAUAUGGAAAACUGUUUCAUCUGAUUCUUUGCUUUUGAGUCAGCGUAACUAUCUCAGAACUCACAUUUUGUUGUUUACAAACUAUAUUCAAAUUUCUCUCUUUGAGAAACAGUGAAAUUAGAGUCAAUAGGACUGAAAGCUAUAAUUGAUGAAAUAUGAUAUUGCACUCUAAAAUUCAAUUGCAGAAACCCUAAACCCAGAGCACCUCUGAGGGGUGCUCACUCUUUUUGUGUUGCAACAUUGUUCAAGAAUACAGAGCACACAUGUAGGAAGCCAGAAAUGGGAGUUAAUUUGGCAAAACCUGCAGUCCUUGACUGCAGAAAAGGGUUUUUACAGAUUUAAAAAUGAAACCAAACUGCUCCCUAAGUCUCAAAGAAAAAAAUAAAAGAAAGCAGAGGCAGGUUUCCCUGAGAAGUCCACCUUGACCCCUCCUCAGCUGCCACAGUCCCUGCCAGCACCUACAGGGUCACUCCCCCUCCCAACUCACCUCCUUCCAGCCUCUGCACCAGGUCCAGUCAUCCGCUGACCACACUCAGCCACAGAGGUCCUCUCUCCAGAGCCUUCUGUUUCCUACACUGACCAGAUAGCAUCAUUUAAUGCUUACCCACAACAGCUGUCAGCAAUUCCUUCUGAGUUCUACAUUUUGACCUAGAAAUGAGGACUCUCAGCCCUGAUGAAUGAGUUACCUGACAUUUCCCAAAGGCCACUUUUCCGUAGAAAUAGCCCAAUCAAGAACACCUCAGACAUCAAAAAGGGACACAAAAGCUAAUCACCAGCCAUCACCCAAAAACCUGAUUAAAGCAUAUGAUGUCCAUAAGAAAAUUCAGCCUGAUAGACAGUCAUACCCUCUGGCUUCAGGCUAUUGACACCAGAAAAAUGUUCGUUCCAUAUGUAAGGCAUAAAGAAACCUGACUAUCCAGGCCCCCUCAGCCUGAACCUCUUUUCUCCAUGUUGGGGCUGGAUAAAGAGGACAAACUGAGCUCUAUCAAAUUGGGCCCCCUAGAACCUGCAGUCACUGUAGAAGUUGGGGCAAACCUGUGCCUCCUGAUAGACAAUGGAACAGAACCCUCUUACCCUCCGAAGUUCCCUCUGUCAAAAGUUACCAUUUGGGGCAGCUGGGACUCUUAUCUCUCACUCUUUAUUUCAGGCACUAACUUACAGCCUGGAAGGACACCUCACCAACAUCAGUUCCUGUCUGAGAAGAGGCUUGCUCUUCAAAUUAGAAGGGACCAUCACUUUUACACCAACUCUGUUAUGGUCUCCUGAGCAAACACUGUAGACUGUCAAACUGCUAAAAUAGGCCUCUCCUGUGUGUAAGGCCAGGUCGGAAUCGCUGAGCUAACAAUUGCUACAGCAGUUGGCCUCCAUAUGCAGUGCCUCAGACUUCUACCACCUGCUGUCUGCUGGUAUAGCUCUCAGGACCUAAAGAAUAUCUCCUGCCUUUGAUUUGCUCCUGUCAGGCAGUUCAUGUUUGUUUUAAGAUGGAAAGACCCACCCAGGCAUCAAAAAAUUAUGUGUCCUCUUUUUGAGAAACCCUCACAGAUGACCUUGUUGAUUUCCCGUCACAACAUAUUGCAGCACUUCUGACUGAUGACAUCCAAGCUGCCUGCUGGAAAGACUGAAAAGCUCUGCACAAUGUCUUGCACAAACUGACUACAAGAAAAAAUCCACAAAUUUCUUAGAGCUUCUGCAUCCUAUAAAAUGUGGGCCCUUCAGUUCACAUAAACAAUGAUGCUUACUCAGCGCUGCCUAGUCCCUUUUUUAUCUUCAUGCUCUAAUUGCUGCUGUCCUUGCAAUUAAGAAACCUGACAAGCUCAUCUUAGUCCAAGCCCUCAUUGUCCAGGUGCCUCAUGCUGUACUGGACAUCCUGAGUAAGUGUCGACCACCCAGUCCUCACAUGUGUCUACCCACCACGCUUGGCCCACCAGAUGGUGCCUAAAAUCUGACUCCCUCUGAUGGAUGCUGAGUAGACCCUGCUUAUGAAUGCAAGUGACUCGUUCAGGACAAGUUAGAGAUGCUGUUGUCACCUUGGAUGAAGUUAUUUUGGCCAAAACUACUACUGCUUCCUGCUGCUGUUUGGAAACCUGCUACCAAAAUAUUACAUGAAACUCCAUUAGAAUGUACAAUCUUAUGUCUUAUUGUAUCAUCUAAAAUAAAUUUCACAAAGUGAAUGAAACAUGAUGAAGAAAUGUUCAGAUAAAACAAAAUAAAAUAGAGUUUAAGCUGUUUCCUUCCAGUUACACGCAGCUGGGCCUCUGCUUUGUACACAAGACACACCAGACCACUUUGCUUUUCCUCUUCUCACAGGCAUUUUCACAUCUUGAAAACAUGGUUCUGUUUGCAUGCCCGCCUCCCAAUCCUUCUUACCGUUCUGGACCACAGAAAUCUAAUGGAAAUAAUCUCAUCCCUCAUUUCAGUGUUUUAUUUUUGCACACUGUGUACUGAAUUGUCUGACUGCAAAUCCAUUCUUUGCUGUGGCCUGUGUCACACCCUCUUAUUCUUGCUGAUAAGUAUUCAAUUAAUGCAUA